GACGAACGCUGGCGGCGUGCUUAACACAUGCAAGUCGAGCGGAAAGGCCCUUUCGGGGGUACUCGAGCGGCGAACGGGUGAGUAACACGUGAGUAAUCUGCCCCUGGCUUUGGGAUAGCCACCGGAAACGGUGAUUAAUACCGGAUACGACCACUUCUCGCAUGGGAUGGGGGUGGAAAGUUUUUCGGCCAGGGAUAUGCUCGCGGCCUAUCAGCUUGAUGGUGAGGUAAUGGCUCACCAUGGCUUCGACGGGUAGCCGGCCUGAGAGGGUGACCGGUCACACUGGGACUGAGACACGGCCCAGACUCCUACGGGAGGCAGCAGUGGGGAAUAUUGGACAAUGGGCGGAAGCCUGAUCCAGCGACGCCGCGUGAGGGAUGACGGCCUUCGGGUUGUAAACCUCUGUCAGCAGGGACGUAGCGCAAGUGACGGUACCUGCAGAAGAAGCACCGGCCAACUACGUGCCAGCAGCCGCCGCGUAA
rnacentral:rRNA from 1 species